GAUGAACGCUGGCGGCGUGCCUAAUACAUGCAAGUCGAGCGAACGGACGAGAAGCUUGCUUCCCUGAUGUUAGCGGCGGACGGGUGAGUAACACGUGGAUAACCUACCUAUAAGACUGGGAUAACUUCGGGAAACCGUAGCCAAUACUGGAUAAUAUUUUGAACCGCAUGGUUCAAAAGUGAGAGACGGUUUUGCUGUCACUUAUAGAUGGAUCCGCGCUGCAUUAGCUAGUUGGUAAGGUAACGGCUUACCAAGGCAACGAUGCAUAGCCGACCUGAGAGGGUGAUCGGCCACACUGGAACUGAGACACGGUCCAGACUCCUACGGGAGGCAGCAGUAGGGAAUCUUCCACAAUGGGCGAAAGCCUGACGGAGCAACACCGCGUGAGUGAUGAAGGUCUUCGGAUCGUAAAGCUCUGUUAUUAGGAAAGAACAUAUGUAUAAGUAACUGUGCACAUCUUGACGGUACCUAAUCAGAAAGCCACGGCUAACUACGUG
rnacentral:rRNA from 1 species